rnacentral:lncRNA from 1 species
CCCCUUUUUGCUGCCUUUCCAGGGAGAGCAGCAAGAGAAAGAAAGAGAGAGGCAAGCGAAAUUCCUGAAUGGAUAGACAGAUGCUACGUCAUCCGGAGCUGCGUCCUCCACUCCACAAGAGGCUAGGAGCCGGGAGAAAGAGGCAGUCCAGCGGCAGGGGCCACCAGCGCAGGCUCUCCUCCUCACAGAAGCCGGGAGCUGGUCAUCCAAGAAGAAGCAGCCUCGUUUGUUUCGGGUGUCAUCGUAGGUGUCCACCUUUGGCUUUGGGGGAACAGCCAGGUCUUGCUUACUCCUGCCUUGGGAAGUCCUUCCCAAUGUCUAACCAAGAUCUGUACCGCUGAAGUACCAGUUCUUUGACCCUCGGCUUGACAUGGCUAAUUUGAGAGGCACAGGGAGGAACUGACCUUGAUUUGGCACCUGCUUGCUUGUUCCUGAAAACUGAGUGAUACUGUCGCCACUACACAAAGACAUAAUCAGAGCCCCAAGUCACAGGACUGACCAAAAAGAAGAACCUACUUCACCCACUUGUCCUGGGUUCCCUCUGAGACGCUGUCUUGAUUGACUGAAAGAUGAGGCUAAACUCUAGCAAGUUGAGUGGCUCCUCCCAGAAUCCUUUAAGCAGGAUAGAAGUGGGGAGGCCCCAGCCUCCAGCCUGGGCAGCCCGUUAGACUGGAGCCGCCUGGCAAAGACUUUAUUUCAUCAUUGCUCCAGUGUCUGCAAGCUGUCCAUCCUGGCCAGCCCUGGUUUCCCCUGUGUCGUCUGAACUGAGAAUCUUCUGAGAUGGAAGUCCCAUCUCAUGCCUAAUAAA